rnacentral:tRNA from 1 species
CGGGGUGUAGCGCAGUUUGGUAGCGCGCCUGCUUUGGGAGCAGGAUGUCGGGAGUUCGAAUCUCUCCACCCCGACCA